UACGUAGGGUGCGAGCGUUAAUCGGAAUUACUGGGCGUAAAGCGUGCGCAGGCGGUUCGCUGUGUCCUGUGUGAAAUCCCCAGGCUUAACCUGGGAACUGCAUCCGAUACUGGAUGGCUUGAAUUCGGGAGAGGGAUGCGGAAUUCCAGGUGUAGCGGUGAAAUGCGUAGAUAUCUGGAGGAACACCGGUGGCGAAGGCGGGUCUCUGGGCCGAAAUUGACGCUGAGGAGCGAAAGCGGUGGGAGCAAACAGGG
rnacentral:rRNA from 1 species